rnacentral:rRNA from 1 species
AUUGAACGCUGGCGGCAGGCCUAACACAUGCAAGUCGAGCGAGCGGCGGACGGGUGAGUAAUGUCUGGGAAACUGCCUGAUGGAGGGGGAUAACUACUGGAAACGGUAGCUAAUACCGCAUACCAUCAGAUGUGCCCAGAUGGGAUUAGCUAGUAGGUGGGGUAACGGCUCACCUAGGCGAAGAUCCCUAGCUGGUCUGAGAGGCUGACAAGCAACACUGGAACUGAGACACGGUCCAGACUCCGACGGGAGGCAGCAGUGGGGAAUAUUGCACAAUGGGCGCAAGCUUGAUGCAGCCAUGCCGCGUGUGUGAAGAAGGCUUUCGGGUUGUAAAGCACUUUCAGCGGGGAGGCGUUACCCGCAGAAGAAGCACCGGCUAACGCCGUGCCAGCAGCCGCGGUAAUAC